AGAACGAACGCUGGCGGCAUGCCUAACACAUGCAAGUCGAACGAGACCUUCGGGUCUAGUGGCGCACGGGUGCGUAACGCGUGGGAAUCUGCCCUUCGGUUCGGAAUAACAGUUAGAAAUGACUGCUAAUACCGGAUAAUGACGUAAGUCCAAAGAUUUAUCGCCGAGGGAUGAGCCCGCGUAAGAUUAGCUUGUUGGUGAGGUAAAGGCUCACCAAGGCUACGAUCUUUAGCUGGUCUGAGAGGAUGAUCAGCCACACUGGGACUGAGACACGGCCCAGACUCCUACGGGAGCAGCAGUGGGGAAUAGUUGGACAAUGGGG
rnacentral:rRNA from 1 species